UAUUAGACUGAAGAUACACAGGAGGG
rnacentral:piRNA from 1 species